rnacentral:rRNA from 1 species
GACGAACGCUGGCGGCGUGCCUAAUACAUGCCAGUUGAGCGCUGAAGGUUGGUACUUGUACCAACUGGAUGAGCAGCAAACGGGUGAGUAACGCGUGGGGAAUCUGCCUUUGAGCGGGGGACAACAUUUGGAAACGAAUGCUAAUACCGCAUAAAAACUUUAAACACAAGUUUUAAGUUUGAAAGAUGCAAUUGCAUCACUCAAAGAUGAUCCCGCGUUGUAUUAGCUAGUUGGUGAGGUAAAGGCUCACCAAGGCGAUGAUACAUAGCCGACCUGAGAGGAUGAUCGGCCACAUUGGGACUGAGACACGGCCCAAACUCCUACGGGAGGCAGCAGUAGGGAAUCUUCGGCAAUGGACGAAAGUCUGACCGAGCAACGCCGCGUGAGUGAAGAAGGUUGUCGGAUCGUAAAACUCUGUUGGUAGAGAAGAACGUUGGUGAGAGUGGAAAGCUCAUCAAGUGACGGUAACUACCCAGAAAGGGACGGCUAACUACGUG